CAAAGCCAAGGCUCAUUGAGCUGACUUUCUAGGAUUUUUAGACUUUAGAAUAGGAAUACUUGAAAAAGACUGUAGCUCCAGUUUGUGAUUCAUGAAAUAAAGUGAACCUUUGAUAGCAAUAUUUGUGUUGAAAAAGUGCGAUUGCAUGUUGCGAAUGAUGUGUAGAAAGUGACCCGAGUUUUUGACAAAGUGCUGACAUUUUCGGGUUCGUUCGAUGUACAUUGGAGUCGUGCAGUUUGACAGUAUCAUGCGGAAAAUGUAGUUUUGGAUUCGAAUCGACCUAGACGAUCAGAGAUUGGAAGUGGGAGGUCGGAUGGUAGCUGGAAGUGUGAAAAAUAUGAUUCGCUGAAACGUCAAGCCCGCGGGCGCGUGAGAGCUUCGUCUUGUGCGACUCGCCAUAUUGGUUCAAAAGUAUUGUGUCAGUGAGGUUCCUGAGUGUUCUUGAGACACGGCAUUUCUGUGAAUGAACGCGCAACAAAAAGGAUUGAGAAUGGAGGAGACGAAGAUCAUUUAUCAUAUCGACGACGAGGAGACGCCCUAUUUGGUCAAGUUGAACAUCGUCCCCGAGAGGGUUACUCUUGCCGAUUUCAAAUCAAGCCUCAAUCGGCCGAACUACAAGUAUUUCUUCAAAUCGAUGGACGAUGAUUUCGGGGUCGUUAAAGAAGAAAUUGUGGAUGACGAUGCGCACCUUCCUUGUUUCAAUGGACGUGUUGUCUCUUGGUUGGUAUCUGCUGAAGGAAGUAAUGUAUCAGACGGUGCUUCCCAGUGCACAGACUCAGUAGCACAUGGCGAACCAAAACAUGAUCGUGUUGAUCAUGUUGCCCCGGGUCUCACAACCCGAGGUCCUCUGCCUCUUUCACACGACGAUACGCUCACAGAAACAGAGAGUAUUAUAAGUAGUCGACAAGGGCAUCAUUUACACAAAACCUCUAGACACCAUGCAGAUAAAUACGAAAAAUAUAACAAAUAUAAUGGACUUCGCAUAAAUGGUCAUUCCAAGCAUCGUUCGGGUCACGGUUACGAAAGCGCUUCGAUCCUUAGCUCUGACUUGGAAACAUCAACUUUUUUGGAAUCAGAUGAUGACGCAAGUAGUCGUAUCACAUCGACAACAGGAGGAAGACACACUAAUAUGAGUAGUACAAUCGACCGAGCAACUUUAGAUCGACGCAGACCUCAAAGACGACGUCGUCACAGACUCCCACCUAUGUCGAGAGCAUCCUCAAUCAGCAGUAUUACAGACAGCACAAUGUCUUUGAAUAUUAUAACAGUUUCCCUGAACAUGGACACAGUUAAUUUCCUCGGGAUCAGUAUCGUUGGUCAGAGCAAUAAAGGCGGAGACGGCGGCAUCUAUGUCGGCUCAAUAAUGAAAGGUGGAGCCGUUGCCUUGGAUGGCCGAAUAGAACCUGGCGAUAUGAUCCUUCAAGUAAAUGAUAUAAAUUUCGAAAACAUGUCCAACGAUGAGGCUGUUAGGGUGCUGAGAGAAGUGGUCCAAAAACCAGGGCCAAUUAAGUUAGUGGUUGCUAAGUGUUGGGAUCCGAAUCCAAAGGGCUAUUUCACUAUCCCAAGAACUGAACCUGUUCGACCAAUUGAUCCUGGUGCUUGGGUCGCUCACACUGCUGCCAUAAGGGGCGAGGGUUUUCCACCUCGACCUCCUAGUGCUACAACAUUGACUUCCACAUCCAGUAGUCUUGCGAGCACACUACCAGAUACUGAGCAAGACCUUCACUUAACCAUAAACACGGAUAUGCCGACCAUAGUGCGUGCGAUGGCCCGACCGGAUUCAGGAUUAGAGAUUCGGGAUCGAAUGUGGCUGAAGAUUACAAUUCCAAACGCAUUUAUCGGGGCGGAUGUCGUCGACUGGCUCAACAGUCGCGUUGAGGGUUUUAUAGAUCGACGCGAUGCUAGGAAGUAUGCCUCGUUGAUGCUGAAGGCAGGCUUCAUUAGGCACACAGUGAAUAAAAUCACAUUUUCGGAACAGUGUUACUACAUAUUUGGGGAUUUGUGUUCAGCCAUGAACAAUAUGAAACUCGACUGUGACACGGUCGGUCCUUUGCCACCGCCUAGUGCUUGGGACAUGCCUUAUUCAGGAACUUACGCUCCACAUUCGGCAACAGGGUACAGUCCGAUGCCAUUUAACUUUACGAGUGAACCCACGGUUUAUGGAUAUCAUCGGGAAGAAAGCAUUCACAGUGGAUCAGGUUGGUCGCAGGGCAGGGAAAACCUGGAAAUCAGGGAAACUUCAUGGAAUUUUAUCGGUGGCAGUAGUGCAGGCAGCGAACAUAUUUGUAAGGAACCAAUUCACGACGUGAAAUCCUGUUCGUCAGCUUCCGAAUCCGAGCUUCACAUGCCGUCGGUGCCAGCCAUGCCAAAGCAGAAUUCAGGUAAUGGGAAUGGUUCUAAUGGAAAGAGAUCUAACGGUAGUCGCAGUCGAUCGAGUGGGUCCGAGCAGUCAGUGCAGACAGGAACUGGUUCUGGGAAUCAGCAAAACCAGCAAGAUCUAUCUGGAUUAUCUACGACAAUGGGACAGCUAUUUCUUUAAAAAGUCUUCAAGAUAUUUAUCAAGUAUCGAACGAACGAUUCGUCAACUCCGAUAGUAAGGAAGAUUACGUUUACGCAGCCACGAUAUUCCUAUUCUCGUUACUUGAACUUAAAAGUUAAUGACCCUCGUACAUCCGUUCGUUGUUCAUUCACCUGAUGAAUCGUUCGAAGGAUAGAAUUUCAACUGUGGCGAAUCAGAGUGUUUACAGGAAUCGACAUGUAAAUACUAACAUAAUGUACCGAUAUUGAAUGUGCCAUCUAAGCAUUUUUUGCCUAAAACCGAACAAAAUUAAUGUACGCUGUCGGAAUGGUAAAUGCAUUUUUUUACUCAUUUUUUAUCGUAAGCUCUGUGCACGAACUCGUGGAUCAUCAAAAAGGAAAUAGCAGUUAUUUUCCUGUUAGACUAAGGUAAGUCAAAUACCGUUUGACGAAAUACGUACAACUUAGCGGUGUAUGGCCAAUUGUAUUUUAAUCUUGACAUAUUCUUUACUGUUUAUUUUAUACGCGUAUAAGUAUAAUACUGUUUUUAAAUUUAUAUUAUUAUUAUUAUUAUUAUUAUUUCUUGCGAAUAAAAGAAUUUUAAGUCAGAGAAAUUAUAUUCGUUAGACAUGUGCGAAACAUUCAGUCUCGAAAUUCUCUGAAUUUUGGUCAAAAAAAAUCUGCAGAUGUCCUAAAUUAUUCCUAGAUUAUUUUUUUCGGUAUUUGCGGUGAUUUUAUCAUUUGUACAGCAAUAUUUUCUUAUUGUAUAUUAUAAUUUAUUUUAUUUAAAGGAAAUUUUUUUAUAACUUUUAUUGUAUAAUAGAAUUCUUUGAUAUUAUUUUGAGGCCAAUAGGAUUUUCAGAGAAUGUUUUUGACUGAAUUUCAUUUAGUUAUCUUGACUAAUUCGCACAUAAAUUUUGCUAACGUCGCACAGACUAUUAAAUUAACAAAAAGAAGAAAAAAAAGUCGAGAAUGCAGUGCUCGAUGUAUUUCGUAUACGUGAAAUUUAACUGGGACAAAAAUAUAAUCAGUGUAUUUGUCUGCGCGCAGAAAUAAUGUAGUUGUUAGGUCGUGUACGAUUGUCAAUCUCUUCGUGCGACCAGUUGUAACCGAACAAAAGUACGAAAAUCGAAAUUUUAGAGAUAAAAAAGCGAACUAGGAAUCUUGCAGAAAUUUGUGAUAUUUGAGUACAGUCGCAGUUUUUUACGGACAUAUACAGGUAUAAGUUUUUCGGUAGCGACAAACUUUUCUAAAAGAAAUGCAUAGAUUUGUAGAAAAGUGCAGCAGUGUUAAAAGGAACUCUUGAAUUUUUAUACCCAAUCAAUUUUUUUUUAAUAAUCAAAGUUUUGAUUCUUUUAUUUCUUAUUCUCAGGGCUCGGAUUGUGCGACUUUUUUUUUUUAGCUUUUUUGCCUUUUUAGAAAAAUUUUAUCCGUUUUUCCCAGCAGUUUGCUAUACUUAGUUUGAAUUCUAAUUAGGAUGAAACUUUUAACAUUGAAAUUCAAAACUAAAUAAACGGUAGCAUUUUCAAUGAAAAUAUUAAAAAUUGAAUAAUUUCUUAUUAAAGCUUUAUACUUGAAACAAUUUUAAUUAAUAGCGUUCGAAAUUAAGCCAUAAUUCCGUGAAUCCGUAUGAAAACUCUUAAUUUUGUUUUAAAUGGAUAUUUUUAAGUCUAAAAAGUUUUAAAUCGAUUUACCAUAUUUCGAAUUCCUCCUUAUCCUUUUUUUUUUAAGAAUUCCUCUUUUUCCUUCUGUUUUAAACAAACUUCCAACUAUCUUUGGUAGAA